UAGUAGUGAAUUCUGAGGAGGAAGAGAGGCGGCGAGGGUGUGGGUGGAGGGAGAGCGGCCACUGCCUGUUCCGGUUCUAGUUUCUUCUUCUUCUCACCCCCUCAAGACAGGCUUCGAAGACUCUUUCCGUCAUACGUACCUCACUGUCUAACCGCCGUCUCUAUCGACCGUGAGCCGUCGCUCUACAAGUCAGGUCGUCGUCGUUACACGGGGUAUGACUCCAAUUUACCCUUCAUGACUUGGUACCGAACGGUCGUAGCGCACAAAGUUGUGAUCGCCUCUGCUGACAUGUCCCGAGGAACGAAGGUCGUCUUGUACUCUUCUUUUCUGUCUCUCUACAAAACCGACUAACAUUCUUCGUUCGUUCAUGGCGACGCGGGCGACCACUAAGUAGAUAGGUAUCGGAACGUGCAAGAGGACGACGAGGACGAUGUGAUAAAGUCGCAACACGAAGCCGAACAGGUCGAAGUGGUCUUACGGGUCUGGCUGGAGUGUUGUUCGACCAAUUCUUGCUCAAAAAUUUGUUCUGCCUCGAACGCUUAUAACAGCCCCGUGCGUCCUCACUAAUGUCCCCGUCCCCAGCAGGUUACUUUUGAUUCGUACAAGUACUACAAGUAUGAGGAUCGGUAAAAUACCAAAUCUAUCUACAUGCAGUCUUAGAAGUUGACAAGCACGACGGCUUUCCUUAACUCUUUAAGAAGUUCCCGUAUCAGGGAACCACGUAUGUCAACACGUGUUCGGGAGUAACGGUGACCUUGUAUUUAAACUCGGCGAUACUUCUCUUUGACCAGAAGUUACUACAGCUUCGACCAACCGCCUUCACAGUGCGGGUUAUACGCUAUGAUAGGAUUUCUCUGAGCUUCCAGGGUGGUUCCUAUCUUGGCGUAUAACUUUGCGAAAACGUUCCACCUAUAGUAAUGUAGUUGUAAUGUAUUAUCUACCCCUAACUCGUCCUCCGACCGCGAUCCCAAUCGCUCCCUCUCUCCGACCCGACCGGAAGCCAGCGCACCUCCGGGUCGAACUGGAACCCCGUUGAAGUAUACCUUCCCUUUCCGGUCCUCCGGACGAACCGACCGGUUUUCUUUCUUUUCCCCAAAGAAAAGGUAUAAAGUCUUUUUCUUUUCUCGGUUCCCUAAUAAACCUCCAAGUUUACGUUCACACAGUACCAGUUAAGGUUUAAUUACCUUAUAAAUGAUAUCGAGGGAUUAUUUUCAUCCUCUGAAAUUUAUACAAAAUUUCUCUUU
rnacentral:rRNA from 1 species